UAGAUUUGGUAUAUCAAGAUUAUGAAUGUAUACGAGAAUUGUAGAGUAUUUAAAAAAUAGAGAACUUCAUCUGUAAAUUUUAAUCGAGUGAUAAUUUGCAGGUAAAAAUUGAAUUGGGUAUCAGGUUAAUUAAAUAUUUAAGAUAUUCGGUAGUAAAAUAAUUGAACGAAGGCUCCAGACAACCGAAAGACGCCAUAGCUACAAAUGGCAUCACCCGUAUGCGUUUGGUGAAUAUAGUAUAUUUAACGUAUGAAUUAAUAUCUCUGUUAGUAAGUUAUACAUCUACAAAAUAAAAUGGUGGGAAAACGUAGACUGGACUCACCUCGGAUUUUCGUUGCGAGACAAAGGCCUGCGCGCGGGACGGGAAUUACGAGAGAACGCAGUUGUUGGGAACCGGGAACGCUUUAGCUCCGUGACGUUCGCGUACCAAGAGAAGAGAAUGACUGCGAGGUUUCUGGAUUGCGACCGUUUAUACACCCGCCAUCAUUGCAACAACGCACCGACCUCCUCGGAUCGAUUUGCUGCUUAGCUCUGUUACCCC
rnacentral:misc_RNA from 1 species